UCUGAGGAAAAAAGGAUACAUUUUUUGGGGGAGAUUGUUUAGUAAAACUACUAAUUUUACUAAACAAUCUCCCCAAAAAAAUGUAUCCUUUUUUCCUCAGACAAA